rnacentral:lncRNA from 1 species
AAUGCCUUCAAAUUUAUGGCCCUCAGAAGCUUCACCAGUGUGAGUCAUUUCCUUUUAACAGCUUAAGCACCUGAAGCAGGUCAAGUUAUAAGAUUUAGUCUUUCUCGAUUGUUUAAGCGUUCAACAUGCAGAUCAAGAUAAUGGGGACUACCAGUUGACUAUGAGAUCCAUCCUCAACAACAAUAUGAGAGCAGAAAUUUACAAUGAAAAUGGAACUCAAGAAACAAGAACCGAAGAGAAAGUAAAUACUUUUUCGAGACAGAUAGCAGAAGUACAUCUAAACUUAUGCGCAGGGUAUGUAUGGUUAAAGCACAGAUAUGGAAGUACAAACUCCAAAACAACUAGUUAGAUUAAUGGAAACUGUUCAGAACUUGCAACUGCAGAAUGCAUGAAAUUAGUUUCUUUACAAGAAACAAACUGAAUACCUACCAAUCUAAUUAAAGUUUCAACUUUAAUAGGUAUGACCUAGUUUAAGAAUGCUACAUUGUAACAGGGAUAAAAAGACACAUAUUCAUCUAAAAACAAAAGUUUUGCAUGACAGUAUAUAUUUAGAUUAGAAAGAGGUAAAUUUAGUGCCGAAUGUGGAGCAAUAACUAGUAAUAGGUCGAUGCGCAUAUAUAUAUGGGAAGAAAAAGUAAGGCUCAUUAUGUCACAAAGAUCAUGUAGAAGUCAUUCUGAUAUAUUUUGCAUUUUAAAUUGAGAAGGUUACAAAGAUCAGGACCACUAACAAAGUAACAUUUUAAAUACUCACAAUAGUAAAAUUGAAGGAAAGCUUCAAGAAUACCAAACCUGCACAAUAAGUUAUCAUUAGCAAGUUAUAAAGAAGAGAAGCUUUUGAAAUGCAGGUUAUAAAUCUCAGAUCUCAUGAGCCGUAUAAGUACACAAACAAUGCAAUAGAUAAAGCUAAAUUCAAAUCCAACAAUCAAGUAAACAACCAAUUCAUGAAAGUUACUUGUUUCAUUCUACAGCUUAGAUAAAAUGAAAUUCAUUUCCCAAAGGGUACACAUCACGAACGUUGAUAUAAACAACAACCUGCUAUUCAAGUGGAGAAGGGUAGAGGCGGGGCCCAUAGUUUUUAAAUCUUGCACCACUGGCCCUCGGGAUAUCUCUAUUACUAAAAGAAAAUCAUUUCUUAAGCGAAAGAAAAUGAACCUUAACGAUUAUUGAAACCGAAGAGACCAAGAAAGGUUUCAGCACAAAGCACCACUUAAUUAGCUAAUGAAAUUCUCUAUGAGAAAGACCAAAUGCUAUCACGAAAAAUUGCUCAAUUCAUAUCCUCUCUGCGUUCAUAUCUGAUUUUAGUACAUGCAUGAUGCCUUUUGAUUCGCAAAAACUUUUUCUUGAAGCACACAACAAACUAAAAUGCUUAAGGGAAAAGCUCUUUUAUCAGAGUUCAGAUUGAAAAAAUUAAUUAAGAAAAACACCAAUCUUAUCAUCCAAAUAAGGACAUUCCCAUAUAUGGGGGAUUUAUUUAUACAUAAACUGAAUGUAGAGGUUAGAAAUCAAGACUUCAAGAAGGAAAAAAAACGAUUCAGAUAGAAACAAUCAAACUAAAACUAUAAGAAGCUUUAUCAAAAACCUGAAAAUCCUCAAAAAAUUCAUCACUCAAUUAACUGAAAAAACACAGUAAAAUCACUGGGUAAGAAUAACCUGAAGAAGAAGAGAAGAAACGUAAUGCCCAGAAGGAGAGAAUUGUUGAAUGUGAACAGCUAUAUAUGAAGAAGGCUUACUCUUUUUGUCUUUGCUGGACAUUUAUUCUGUAAUCCAUUUUGGAUUUUGACUCUUUAUAAUCCAUUUUGGAUUGUGCCUACUCUUACACUUCUUCAACUCUGUGGUAAUUGAGGCAAUGUUUUGCAGAUUCACUUUUUUUUCUUUCUUUUGACUAUAUGUUGAAGCAUCAAACUGUCAUCACUAAAUAGAAAUACGCAAACCACAUUUUCUUUAAUAAGAAACAGUUACGAGGAAGUACAGGUGGGGUACCAAUUUAUGGGGUGUUGAAAUUGUAAGUCCCGCAUCGGUGGAUGAAUGGGAAUUUCACUCUAUAAAAGGAGGCCUAAUAUUUAGGAUUUAUGUACACCUCUCAUUUGCCUUUUAUCUUCUUAAGGCAUUUGUAUCUUCUCUCUUUAGUAUUAUUUCACUUGUAAUUUUAGAGUGGAAUAAAAUAUUGAUUGUGUCCGAGGAAGUAGGCAAAAUUGGCCGAACCUUGUAAAUUCUGGUGUUCUUUUAUUGUUGUCUUAUUGUCUUGUUUAUUAUUUAGUGGUUGUCAUAAUUUUUGGUAUAGUAGUUGUGACUCAUUCACACUAUAUACAUUUGGCUUCCGCAACAAUUGGUAUCAGAGCCAAGGUACUGUCUAAGUAUGCUCUGUGGUUGCAGCAUAGUCUGAUCUUCCACAUCAGAAAAGAUCUAUCUUGGUAACUGAGUCAAGGUUCUGUCUGAGUAUGCUCUGUGGUUGCAGCUUAGUCUGAUCUUCCACACCAGAAAGAAAAUAAUCUUGAUUUGUGUCGUCAGCUACUAAAUAAUAUUUGUGUCAAAAUGGGAGACAUUAAACAAGAAGAAUCUACAUCAAGUGUCAAUAAUACGUCAUCGUUGGCAUCUUCGCUUAUGACAAGAAUUGUGUCAAAUGCAAAAUUUGCGGUAGAAAUUUUUGACGGGUCAGGACAUUUUGGGAUGUGGCAGGGCGAGGUUCUAGAUGUUCUUUUUCAACAAGGGCUAGAUCUUGCCAUUGAAGAAAAGAAACCAGAUGUUAUUGGAGAAGAA